rnacentral:rRNA from 1 species
UACGAAGGGGGCUAGCGUUGCUCGGAAUCACUGGGCGUAAAGGGUGCGUAGGCGGGUUUUUAAGUCAGAGGUGAAAUCCUGGAGCUCAACUCCAGAACUGCCUUUGAUACUGAGAAUCUUGAGUAUGGGAGAGGUGAGUGGAACUGCGAGUGUAGAGGUGAAAUUCGUAGAUAUUCGGAGGAACACCAGUGGCGAAGGCGGCUCACUGGCUCGAUACUGACGCUGAGGUGCGAAAGCGUGGGGAGCAAACAGG